UGAGCUCUUCCACAUGGAAGACCCCUGUCAUUGACUGGCAUAGAUGGUGAGCACAGAGGAAGAAUUGCGUUAGGCCCUUUGGCCCCGGACCAGUGUCUGCCAGCCACGUGCUCAGCCUCCCGUGCGCUAAAGCUCAGGUCCUUCCUGUCAUCCUGGUAUCCUGCACUGAGGUGUGUGAGCUCUUCCCCCCAGCAGGCCCCCUGGGAUUGACUGGCAAAGGUGA
rnacentral:lncRNA from 1 species